UCUGAAUCUGCGAACGGCUCCGCAAACCAGUUGUAAACCAAAGCAAGCAUACUCGGGGACUGCCCUUCACGGGGUGGGCUCGGGUGAUACGGAUAACCCUGGUAAUUCUGAGGCUAAUACGAGACUAUAAUCCCUGGCGGACCGGGCAACUGGGAAGCUGGGGGGCGUGCGAUCUAUUUGCAAGACGAUACCAGGAGGGGGUGCACGCUCUGACCGCGAUAAAGACGGUUCCGGUAAACCUUCGGGUGAGCUGGUUCCGAGCGGCUCUUGCGAUGUGCUUCUGACCUAUCAACUAGAUGGCAGCGUAACGGACAUGCCAUGGU
rnacentral:rRNA from 2 species